UUCAUAAAAAAUCCUUAAAUGAGGAAUGAUCAGCUUAUUAGCUAAUCCACUGUUUAGGCUUAAUAAGCCGUUGAUAAGAACCAUGAUUUAUAAACGUUUAUUAGGGGUUUCUUAACUAAUAAGCAGAUUAGACCCGUUAUGUUGGCAUCUUGGCACAUCAUAGACAAAAAUAUGGCUGAACAUUAAUUAAAAAAAAAAGUUUGACAGCAGCACUAGCGGUAAAUCAUAAAAUCCUGAACAAUACGAUGCACAAUUUUGACCAGUUUUCUGGGUUAUUAUAUAUUAAAAUAGCCUCUGCAUCACAAAAACAAAUAAAUAAUAUUGCACGGCCGGAAGUUUUACGAAACUCGUUUCAAUAUAUUGUGGAAUGAGGGAAAGAGGGCAGUUGCACAUCUCAAGUCAAGAAUUCUGCCUGCGCGCCAUCGCCACCGUAAUACCACGGAUUCCAACACAUUUUGUUCUGGUGGCGAAACACAAACGAUAUUGACACUAUUCAUAUCAAAUGAUCGGUGAAGAUAAAUCAGGUGAGCAAGAUUUGGUUAUUCAUUUCUUAACGUAAAAUGUUGUAGUAUUUUUAUGAACAUACCUCGACACCCAAAAAAUUAUGGCCUCUUCAUUUUUAAUUUGACGUACUAUCGGUGUUUUUUAGAAGAGCAGAGCUAACUAAGCUAGUUAGGAGCUGUUUAUAAUUAGAAUUAGUGAAUAACAUACUUAACCAACCACACGAUGGAACCAAUUUAUCAGUGAAGUGGUGAUUUAUCUUAAAAACCUUUUUUGUUCGCCUAGGGCGCAGAGUUAAAGAUAAGCGCUUAUAUAUGCAACUUGACAAUGACAAUGUUUGCAGUGAAACAUCUCAGCCAAUAGCCGCAUUAAAAGGCAAACUGCACAAUUCAUAAUGAGGCAGAAAUGUUCAUUAUUCACAGGAGUGUCGCUGUUGGUUGUGAGUAUUCCAUCAUCAGCUAUUUGUCCGGAGCUGGCUACACAAUCCGGAGGCCACACUCUUCUGGCAUCUAACCGGCCUGCACACCGCCAUCAAAUGAAGUUGGUUGUACUGAAAUAAAGAAAAAAUAUUAACUAGUUUAAUGAUUGUCAAAUGUAAUAAAAUUGUUUUAUUUAAGUGGGUUGUUUGAUUUCCCUAAAUUAACACAUGAAAUAUGUUGAUAUGUUAUAAUAAAAAUCUCAGUUAAAAACUCA